GACGAACGCUGGCGGCGUGCUUAACACAUGCAAGUCGAACGGUGAUGCCCCAGCUUGCUGGAGUGGAUCAGUGGCGAACGGGUGAGUAACACGUGAGCAACCUGCCCCAGACUCUGGAAUAAGCGCUGGAAACGGCGUCUAAUACUGGAUACGAAACUGGCCCGCAUGGGCAUGGUUUGGAAAGUUUGUCGGUUGGGGAUGGGCUCGCGGCCUAUCAGCUUGUUGGUUAGGUAGUGGCUCACCAAGGCGACGACGGGUAGCCGGCCUGAGAGGGCGACCGGCCACACUGGGACUGAGACACGGCCCAGACUCCUACGGGAGGCAGCAGUGGGGAAUAUUGCACAAUGGGCGAAAGCCUGAUGCAGCGACGCCGCGUGAGGGAUGACGGCCUUCGGGUUGUAAACCUCUUUCAGCAGGGAAGAAGCGAAAGUGACGGUACCUGCAGAAGAAGCACCGGCUAACUACGUG
rnacentral:rRNA from 1 species